GGAAAACAUGGCAUGGAUGUAUCAGGUACAACAUCUGCUACCCCCAUUGUCUUCCCAGUGACACUCUUUCUAGAUUUUAGAUGUUCAGUUAGCUGGAGUUAUUAAAUGAAAAAAGAUCUUUUAUUGUUGUUGCAGAGUUUGCAUAUUUAACUAAUAAACUAGUCCUCACAUAAUACCCCUUAUCAAUGAGUACAUAAUUUCAGAAGAAUUAUAUAUAGCAAUUAAACAAUGUGUUUGAGUUUAUACACAUUGUGUUUCAUUUCACACAAAAGAGGGAGGUGGUGUUUAAUAAGUUUUAUCUCUUUCAAGUCACCAAUCACCAUGCAUCCCAACCUUGUUAAAUUUAUUAAUGUAUGAAAGUAGAAUGCUUAAAUGAAACCUUAAUAAUCUAUUGCACGAAAUCUGAAUAAGAGUAAGAUUAAAAUAAAAUAUGGAAAGAAUUGCAAUACUUUUAUUGAAUAACUAACCAAAAAAUAGGGAAAAAUA
rnacentral:lncRNA from 1 species